rnacentral:rRNA from 1 species
UGCUAGUCGUGCGAGUGUCAGACUCGCGGCGUAUAGCUCAGUAACACGUGGCCAAUCUACCCUACAGACAGGAAUACUCUCGGGAAACUGAGGCUAAUGCCUGAUACUCGCCUCCUGCUGGAAUGCGGAGGCGGCGAAACGUUCCGACGCUGUAGGAUGUGGCUGCGGCCGAUUAGGUAGACGGUGGGGUAACGGCCCACCGUGCCGAUAAUCGGUACGGGUUGUGAGAGCAAGAGCCCGGAGACGGAAUCUGAGACAAGAUUCCGGGCCCUACGGGGCGCAGCAGGCGCGAAACCUUUACACUGCACGCCAGUGCGAUAAGGGGACCCCGAGUGCGAGGGCAUAUCGUCCUCGCUUUUCUCGACUGUAGGGAGGUCGAGGAACAAGAGCUGGGCAAGACCGGUGCCAGCCGCCGCGGUAAUACCGGCAGCUCAAGUGAUGACCGAUUUUAUUGGGCCUAAAGCGUCCGUAGCCGGCCGCGUAAGUCCGUCGGGAAAUCCACUCGCUUAACGAGUGGGCGUCCGGCGGAAACUACGCGGCUUGGGACAGGAAGGCUCGAGGGGUACGUCCGGGGUAGGAGUGAAAUCCCGUAAUCCUGGACGGACCACCGAUGGCGAAAGCACCUCGAGAGGACUGAUCCGACGGUGAGGGACGAAAGCUGGGGUCUCGAACCGGAUUAGAUACCCGGGUAGUCCCAGCUGUAAACGAUGUUCGCUAGGUGUGACACUCACUACGAGUGAGUGUUGUGCCGUAGGGAAGCCGCUAAGCGAACCGCCUGGGAAGUACGUCCGCAAGGAUGAAACUUAAAGGAAUUGGCGGGGGAGCACUACAACCGGAGGAGCCUGCGGGUUUAAUUGGAGUCAACGCCGGGA